rnacentral:tRNA from 1 species
GAGGGUAUAGCUCAGUGGGAGAGCACAUGCUUAACGUGUGUAAGGUCCUGGGUUUAAUCCCCAGUACCUCCA